rnacentral:lncRNA from 1 species
ACCUCCAACUUCUGCUCAGAAACAGACGGCUGCGUGUGGGGGCUGGUCCCUACCCAGAUCAGUACAGGAUCUUCAGCUGGCAGACUAGAUCCAGCAAAUGGAAUUAACGAAGAAACUCAUGUGCGUUUGGAAAAAAAGGUGGGGUAACACCUGCUGCCACGGAUCGAGUACACCUGACUAGAUGUAGUCAAAAGAAAAGGUCAAGAAAAGAAAAGGAAAGCCCCACCUUUCUUAAUUCCGUUUGAUUCGUGUGCGCCUAGGAAGGUGUGGACCUGCUCCCCUCUUCCCCGUAGCGACCGUGUUGGAGAAACUCGCUCGGAGGACCAGUGUGCUGCGGGGGCCAAAACUCACGCUGCCCAGCCUCGGAGAGCUGGAGAACGGAGCGGGGUCCCGCCGAACCUGCGCUCGUAGAGGAUAUUAUCUUCACAGCAACUUAGCAAGCCCCACAGAACAAAAGUUAAAGCGUGAUGGCACUAUACCUUGCCCCGGGUUACUCAGGCGCCUGUCUCCCAUUUUGGACAUGCUGGAAAUGUUGGAUUUGGGGAGGUUUGCUUUGGCUGGGUUUGGGUUGUCUAUAUAAGCCCUGCUGGAGUACUGUACUGAGGAACGCGCCUUGAUGGACUCGGGUGUUAAUUAACGCGCGGCUAAUUUGAGCUUCAGGAGCGGGAGGCGGCCGGUAGCGCCGCGAGCCGCGAGGGGCCAGUGACCUCUAGUGGACAUGAGGAGAUAUGCAGCGCGCGUGAGCACGCAGCGGGAAAAACUCCUUCCUGAGCCGCUGCUCGCUUGUCUCCUCUGAAUCCAAUGCAAGGGAGGGACAGGAGUCCCCAAUUUAAGGGAGAAAGAGCCGUCAGCAAGUCGUGUCGAGCAAAGACCUUAGCUCUUCUGAUGUAUCUGAAAUCUAAACGCCAUUUAAGCGCUCUAGCACACACACAUUGUUACUUAUCAAUUUUUCCAGCGAGAGAAGGAGAACGUAUGUAAUGGGUUUGAGAAGUGAGCGUAAAUAACUUUGGUUUCUGAACCUAGAGAAAAGCAGGGCUUUCAAAGCUCUGGAGCCACUAGCCAUUCAGGGAAAGGAGUCGGAAUGUGAUUCUGUAAACAAAGUUCA